rnacentral:lncRNA from 1 species
AACACGGGUGUUCGUCCCCAAGUAGGCGGCCGCAGAGGGCGUAUUUGAGGCCACCCCAAUUGCGGGUGGAGGAGGCUGCCCGUCCAUGUCUUAGCACAGAGGUCAGCGAUGUUCAUCCCUUCAUUUCUUGUAUUUUUAUUUGAUUUUUCAGGCAUCGGACGACCUUAUGCCGGUGAUGAAUGUUACUUGUGCAAUUUCAGGUGGAAUGCGAUGAACCGGAGUACGAGCUGAACCCCGGCGAACUCCAGUUCCGCAAAAGGGAUUAAGAGCUCCAGAGUUGUAGUAUGGUCCUCAUCUCCUCCCUGCCGAACCUGCAGGAUUUGGCAGCAGAGUGUUGCCGGAAGUAGGAGAGAGAGAGGGUUGAGACAUAGGUCUGCACUUGCACUCGAUCCCUUUCUCUUGCAGCUCCUGCCGGGAACUGAAGGGACCUCGAGGAGGGGUUUCUCUCCUACUAAAUGUGGUGAAGUACAGGAAGUGAUGAAUUGUGUGUGUCAACAACAGGGGCAAGGGGUGAUAGUUGAGGAUGACAUGCUGCUGUGGGUCCAAGAAGACGUUGUAGCAAUAAAGGAGCAAUGUUGCCAUCUCCGUUCAUUGAUUCUUCACAUUCUGAAAUCUUAGUGUAGUUACCCAGGGACGUGUAUACCUUUCGAUUGGAUGCUCGAGGAAGCAGGAUAUGCUAUGAUGCAAGCGGAUGGUUGAAUCAAGUGUUACUUUUCCCUAUUUUUCUAUGCUGCAAUUGUGAUGGUUUUUGCUAUACCCUGUAUCUGAGCUGACAUCGUUUUGCUUUCAAAUUGCAGCUUUUGAUCAGGCAUUCAGGAAUAAGCAGGAAAGACCUGAACCCCAAGGUGAGGGGCAUCCUAUCAAUUUCUUGCCUUUUCUGUGGUAGUUGAUAUGCUUGAUUAUUCUGCUCUACUGGUCUGGAUCUAAUAAUGUAAACUUGAAAGUGAGGAUUUCUUUGAAGAACCUAUCAAGUAGCGGUGGCGAGAUGUUAAAGUGGCCCCUAACUGAUGAACUUUUGGCUCGAAACUACAUUUAUUCAGCAGUUGAUUAUAAGCUAUUAGAACUGUAGUGUUUUACAUUGAUGUUGUCAGUUCCCUUCUGUUAACUAGCCAAGACGUAGAUUUCAGUUUCAUGUAGCUGCUAGCACUCUGUUUUUUUGUGUUUCAGUCGAAGUGCAAGGUCAGGAUCCUCUUUUGUUUGGCGGUACUAAUCACUAACAUCUUACUGCACACGCUAUUUUUUUAAAGACAAUAUGAUGCACCUCAAUUCCAAUCUGACACCUGUAAAGAUUUUUCACAUGUUGUUAAUGUAUGCCAAGAUAGCAUACAUGAAGUUAAUGUAUUCUAAGUUAAUGUGGCCCCUAACUGAUGAACUUUUGGCUGGAAACUACAUUUAUUCAGCAGUUGAUUAUAAGCUAUUAGAACUGUAGUGUUUUACAUUGAUGUUGUCAGUUCCCUUCUGUUAACUAGCCAAGACGUAGAUUUCAGUUUCAUGUAGCUGCUAGCACUCUGUUUUUUUGUGUUUCAGUCGAAGUGCAAGGUCAGCAACCUCUUUUGUUUGGCGGUACUAAUCACUAACAUCUUACUGCACACGCUAUUUUUUAAAGACAAUAUGGAUGCACCUCAAUUCCAAUCUGACACCUGUAAAGAUUUUCACAUGUUGUUAAUGUAUGCCAAGAUAGCAUACAUGAAGUUAAUGUAUUCUAAGUUAAUGUGGAUCAAAGCGGCUGACUGCACCAUCAAUGGACGAGAAUUUCUCACUGAACUGUUUUUGUUUGUUCAGUUGCAGGCACUCUGCAUGGACAAGAAUUUAUCACUGUCACUGGUUUUUAUUACUUCAUCAAGUAAAUCAUUGUCUAAUACCGAACGAGUUGAAACUCAUGAUGUUUUAUUGAACAAUGAUCUAUUUGGAAGCUAACACAGAGAAGGUGUUGUAUGUUCACUAGCUUUUUGCAAACUUUGUAUUUCCAAUGCUACACAUUCUUUGCAUAGUUAUUUUUAUGUGUAACCAGAAUUUAUUUGUGGUUACUCAUGAUCAAAUUUUAAGCUACCAUGUUUAGAGAUAUUAAAACCUGCAAGAAACGCGCAGCCAAAGAUUUUUUUCCUCAUUAUUUGGUAUCGAACAAAUAAGGUGUUUUCCUGGAGGAUUGUGCUCUUAUCGAAGUAUUAGGCAGUUGUUAUAUUUUGCUUUUAGUUACUGUUAGUUUUUUCAGACUCGGAGCAUUAUUACAAACUCUUAACUGAACUAUGUAGGUUUGUUUAUGAAGAAUCAUUCUAACUGGAAGUAAUACAAGGCAAGUGUUUAUCAGAUACAUGCACUAUUAUUGUCUGACAAAACUGAUAGCAUUAAUCUUGACGGGUGCGCUCGUGGUUGGACUCGCGGAGCUGGCCGUUCGUGGCUGGAUGGUUCGUGCGAAGACUCGGCCAGGUCGUUCGUGCCGUGCCGCCGUAAGUGGAGCAGCUGGGUUAACCAAGCCGUUGGGCGUGCAUGUAGUGCGGAGUGUAUGGGCGUGCAUGUAGUGCAUGUAGUCAGUGGUUAGCUAAUGCGUGUGGGCAUGGCUUAGUGGCCGGUGUGGCGCAUGAGCUGUGUAUGUGCGCUGUCUACUACUUAAGGUGCUGGCAGGUGGUAGAGCCAAAGGAGCCAGAGAGAGAGAGAGAGAUGUAGCCUCUCGGAGUGUAUAUGUGCUCGCCGUGGGGUGGUGUGUGUGUGGCAGAGUUCGAGCUCGCCGGAAAUACAAGGGGUUGUUCGUGCGGCCGGAGGCGUUUGUGCGCCGGGAAACCUCGUGCCCUCUCUCUCUUGUUUCUUCCUUGUCUCCGGUGAUCGCCGUGGUACAGUGA